GACGAACGCUGGCGGCGUGCUUAACACAUGCAAGUCGAACGGAAAGGCCCUGCUUUUGUGGGGUGCUCGAGUGGCGAACGGGUGAGUAACACGUGAGUAACCUGCCCUUGACUUUGGGAUAACUUCAGGAAACUGGGGCUAAUACCGGAUAGGAGCUCCUGCUGCAUGGUGGGGGUUGGAAAGUUUCGGCGGUUGGGGAUGGACUCGCGGCUUAUCAGCUUGUGGGUGGGGUAUUGGCUUACCAGGCCUUUGACGGGUAGCCGGCCGGAGAGGGGGACCGGCCACAUUGGGACUGCGAUACGGCCCAGACGCCUACGGGAGGCAGCAGUGGGGAAUAUUGCACAAUGGGCGGAAGCAUGAUGCAGCAACGCCGCGUGCGGGAUGACGGCCUUCGGGUUGUAAACCGCUUUCGCCUGUGACGAAGCGUGAGUGACGGUAAUGGGUAAAGAAGCACCGGCUAACUACGUG
rnacentral:rRNA from 1 species